UGGUGAUGUUUUCGAAUUUUUAAUGAAAGAAAGAAAGUCCAUUGGUAAUCAGCCGGGGUUCGAACCUCCGACAUCAGGGAUAAGAGUCGCUCACUGGAACCACUAGGCCAACACUAUUAAUAUUAUGUGAAUGUGAAAUCUAUUUAAAGUUUUACGAUUGAACGGAAACGGCAUAAAACGUGAAUUCCAUUUUUGAAAUUUGCUCAAUAUUUAGAGUUUAUGAUUUUAAUAAGUUCCGGUUACAAAAAGUGUUUUUACAUUAACGAUUUUAAACUUCGAACUCGAAUUUAUCUACAGAUAAAAAAUGAUAGCUCUAGUCAUGAUCUAAAGAGAAAAACAAUGCUUUAUGGAACAGAUACUAUUUGCGAAGAUAUCAAAAUCUUUUUUUAAUAUCCUGAUUUGUUUUUGGGUAAGAACGACAUGAAUGAAUGAAAUGACAAUACACUAUAAUUGUGUAUAUAUUCUUAAACUACGAAGUAAUUCGCGAAAACA